rnacentral:rRNA from 1 species
GAUGAACGCUGGCGGCGUGCCUAAUACAUGCAAGUCGAGCGAAUGGAUUAAGAGCUUGCUCUUAUGAAGUUAGCGGCGGACGGGUGAGUAACACGUGGGUAACCAGCCCUUAAGACUGGGAUAACUCCGGGAAACCGGGGCUAAUACCGGAUAACAUUUUGAACCGCAUGGUUCGAAAUUGAAAGGCGGCUUCGGCUGUCACUUAUGGAUGGACCCGCGUCGCAUUAGCUAGUUGGUGAGGUAACGGCUCACCAAGGCAACGAUGCGUAGCCGACCUGAGAGGGUGAUCGGCCACACUGGGACUGAGACACGGCCCAGACUCCUACGGGAGGCAGCAGUAGGGAAUCUUCCGCAAUGGGCGAAAGUCUGACGGAGCAACGCCGCGUGAGUGAUGAAGGCUUUCGGGUCGUAAAACUCUGUUGUUAGGGAAGAACAAGUGCUAGUUGAAUAAGCUGGCACCUUGACGGUACCUAACCAGAAAGCCACGGCUAACUACGUGCCAGCCGCCGCGGUAA